rnacentral:rRNA from 1 species
UGGGGAAUAUUGGACAAUGGGCGCAAGCCUGAUCCAGCCAUGCCGCGUGCAGGAUGACGGUCCUAUGGAUUGUAAACUGCUUUUGUACAGGAAGAAACAGUUCUAUGUGUAGAACCUUGACGGUACUGUAAGAAUAAGGAUCGGCUAACUCCGUGCCAGCAGCCGCGGUAAUACGGAGGAUCCAAGCGUUAUCCGGAAUCAUUGGGUUUAAAGGGUCCGUAGGCGGUUAGAUAAGUCAGUGGUGAAAGCCCAUCGCUCAACGGUGGAACGGCCAUUGAUACUGUCUGACUUGAAUUAUUAGGAAGUAACUAGAAUAUGUAGUGUAGCGGUGAAAUGCUUAGAGAUUACAUGGAAUACCAAUUGCGAAGGCAGGUUACUACUAAUGGAUUGACGCUGAUGGACGAAAGCGUGGGUAGCGAACAGGAUUAGAUACCCUCGUAGUCCCUGAGCGGGCUGGCAAGGCGCAU